CCGCGGGUUCGAGGCCGGGCCCCGCGCGGGGAGGCCGCGUCACCCCGGGGGAGCUGCCCGGCAGCGAGUUUGCCCCACUGCCGAAAGAAGGCGGGAGCCGACGGGGGCCUUCGAAACCCCCUGGCAACCCCGGCCCGGAGUCCCUAGGGAGCGGCCGCUUCCUGAGACCCCGUACGGGAACGCCAGUGUCGCAGGGUAGCUGCAGUGAGCCCCCCUCAGCAAGAGGGGCCUCCGGGUGACCCCCCGUGAACCGCCGGAGUCGACUCCGGGGCCUCUCGCCCUGGAGGUAGAGGGUUCCCGGAGACUCGCGGCCGAGAGGUCUGAGGGAGCAGGGCCUCUGGGACGCGGGGCAAGGUAGCCCUGGUGUGGAGACUGGCUCUGGGACCCUCGGGUACGGGGGGUCUCGGCGACCUGCCCCGCAGGGAGUGCGGCCGCGGAGUGGCCUGCAGGGGACCUUGCCCCGGAGGGGCCGACGCGGAGCGGGGAGAUGAACGGCUUCAGCACGGAGGAGGACAGCCGCGAAGGGCCCCCAGCCUCCGCCGCCAACGCCGCUGCUGCCGCCGCCGCCGCCGCCGCCCCGGGCUACGGCCAGAGCUGCUGCCUCAUCGAGGACGGGGAGCGCUGCGUCCGGCCCGCGGGCAACGCCUCCUUCAGCAAGAGGGUGCAGAAGAGCAUCUCGCAGAAGAAACUCAAGCUGGACAUCGACAAGAGCGUAAGGCACCUAUAUAUCUGCGACUUCCACAAAAAUUUCAUCCAGAGUGUCCGAAAUAAAAGGAAGAGGAAGACAAGUGAUGAUGGUGGAGAUUCUCCUGAACACGACACUGACAUUCCUGAGGUUGAUCUGUUCCAGCUGCAAGUGAACACCCUACGACGUUAUAAACGACACUACAAGUUGCAGACCAGACCAGGCUUCAAUAAGGCCCAGUUAGCAGAAACUGUCAGCCGACACUUCAGGAAUAUACCUGUGAAUGAAAAAGAGACCCUCGCCUAUUUCAUCUACAUGGUGAAGAGUAACAAGAGCAGACUGGACCAGAAAUCAGAGGGCAGCAAGCAGCUUGAAUGAAGACAAAGCCCUUGAUAUAUAAUGCUUAAUGCACAGGUGAUAUCUGCUACACUUAAAGACUGUUAAUUUUUAUUGUAAAUAAAAAAGUUUGAAUGAUGAAUACUGUAAAUCUUUUCGGUCAAGAGAAUUAAUAUUCUCAUGACUCAGCAUGUGUAUAGAAAGACUUUUUAAGAUAAUUGCUGGACUGAAACAAACAGGAUCAUAAAAAGAAUUACAGAAAAAUGAUGUAUUGCAGCAUUCAGCAAAAUAUUAUGUUUCUUCUACUGGAAAUGUGAGAUAAGAAAUAGUUUGGUUGUCACCUUGCAAUUGCAGGCUGCCACCUGUGAGACACCACCACCCUAGAAUGGGAUAGGGUAGAGUUGAUGGUGGGGGUGCCUUAGCAGAAUAGAACUGGGCUUCAACAUUGCCCACAGGGAAUGUAGAUGGCCUGCUUUGUUGAAAAUUUUGUUGUCAUUAUUAGUUUGACGUUGUUCCCCUCACUAGUUCUGUGCCUUUUCUACAGUGGGCACUUGAUCAGUAUUGCGUUGGCUGACCUGUCAGCAGUGCCAGCACUGUGAUGUCUGCCUCCUUGCUCUUGCUACUGAAAUGUCCACCAUUUCUAUUGCUUUGCCACUUAAUUACAGUGUGGAGAAAAUUUGAUGCAAAGAGAGGUUGCAGAUCCAAAGAGUAUUUUGGGGCAAUUGGAUGUCCCUACUUGUCAAGGCUUCAAAAACACUGAUAAAUGUUUCUCACAGGAGACAUGGUACUUUGCACACCCCUCUAUGCUUCACUUUAGAGAUGAAGUUACUUAUUAAAACUUCAGCCAGGCUCCUGGGCAAUAAAUGCUUUGACCCAAUGAGCAGUGUAGUGAUUUGGGGCUAAUGUUUUCAGAAGUAUUAAUCCUCAGUUCAUAACCACCAGGAAAGCUGCCAAGGACCGUAAGACUCCUGCUCAGAAGUUCAGCUGUGGGGUAGAAAGUCUGCUGACCUUGAAUCCCUGGGCUCUCUCUGAUAGACAGCACAUCAUGAAUUUGAGCAACCAAGGUGUGACUGCAGCAUUGCCUUCUCUCCUCUUGGUGCUCCUGGGCAAAACUGGAAUGUGACACCCAGAACUGGCAUUGUCUUGUCUAACAGUUAUGGUUCCUGCCUCUGUUCCAGCAUUGCAAGAUUCUUUGAUGUGCCCUGAAGGUGGUCACAAGAAAACAUCAGUAUCCUGCCAUUUGUGUUUUUUUCAACUUGUUUUCAAAAAACAAACAGACAAACUUUCAAAGAACAGACUCUUAGGUUGGCCGACAGCAUGUAAUAAUGAUCAUAGCUGAAUCUCAUGAAAGAUUGAAACCAAAGGAUUCAAGACAGUGUUGUAAACUGAAGAAUUUCAUUGUUGUGUUAUAGCUGCCGAGUUAUUAGAUGUUCUCUUGUAGCUAAAUAGUCACAGCUAGCCUCUUGAAGAACAGCUAGAACAGCUAGAAUGUGGAGUUGGCAUUUGGACUGUUUAUUUUGUGGGAACUUUUUGUUACUAACCUGUACAACAUCUACCCUGGUAGAAGGGAGAGAAAGUGGGGAUGCAAACUGCUUGUUGAAUGGGUUGUCCUCGGUGUGUGUCCCAGGGGAAUUUGGCCCUGGAUGUCACCUGAAAACUCUGAACCAUUACAAGAAUAAGGUCCAAAAGUUGUGAAAGGACUUUACAUUGCCUAGCCCAAUUUCCCCUUAGGUGCUGACAUGCUGCUUUACAACUAUCCCAACAAGGAGUUGAGCAGUCUGGACUUAAACACCUCUGAGGACAGAGAACUCACUACCUCCUGGGGAACCUGUUCUAUCCUUGUAAACCUCUGGCUUUUUUGUAUUCUCUGUCAUUUCCAUCUGCUCUGUGGUGCCCAUUGUGGAAUAAGUUUAUUUUGGCCAAGUACCUAAUUGCACUAUCCCAGGGCAUAAUGUGUUUGGGAAAGGAGCGACUAGGACAUAGGCACUCUUACGUUCUGACUGUCCUUGUCCCCGAGUAUUGGUCUACUUAGUUCCUUGUUGGAGGAUGUGGAAGAAACCCCAUUAGUCUGGCUGUACUCCUUUGUUCCUGUCAAAGUGGUGACAUGGGGCAGGAGCAGGGAGGAUGUUAGCACCUUGCUAAAAAAAAGAAAAUCUCCUAAGACAGAUGAGGCUUUAGUUGUGUGCUUGUCCUACAAAAACCUAAUGCUCACAGUAUCACUUAGGGUAAACUUCACCCAGAACAUUAUAAAAUGUCAUUGCUAUGCGUGAAGUUUGGAGGUCCCAUGGUUGCCAGCAGUGUGUACCUUGUGAUUCCUGUAACAACCUCACACAGUUUUCAAAAGCAAAGGUGAAGAACCUGAGAGUGGGAAGUCAUGUCUUAGAGAAGUGCCAUAGUGGAAGUCCUUUUUAAGUUACAAUUGUCCAAUCAAUUUUUAAGGAUGAAAAAACCAAAUUCACGAUUUGCUUGAGGUGAUAUAGCAUUAUCAAACUAAUUUCUAGUCCUCUUAAACUGUCCAGCAUUCAGAUCACCUUAUGAUUUAAACAAUGCAUCUAAUUCAGUCAAAAAUAAGCUGCCCUCAGACUCUAAAGAAUUUGUAACAGAGCAUAAGUCCAAGGCCACCCUGGUUCUCGGGACAAUGAACCAACCUACAGAAUGUAGGGUUAAAUUCCAAAUGAUUGGACUAGACAAGCUUUUGUAAAACCAGUAAUAAAGGGAAAACAGAUCUGUUAAUUCAAGACCAAGGUUCACAGGCUUUCAUAGGAAAUAUCUUGUCCUAGAGUCAGUUCUCAUGAAAUAGGCUUGGUGCUGAGGGGUCCAUUUUCCACCUUCCAAGCAGUCCUUUGAGAGUAUGCAGUUCAGCUGGCUCUGGCCCCUGGCCCUCCUGCUGAGUUCUGCAGUUGAGAAACAGGUGAACUGAACAUCAUGCCCUGGGGAAGUAGGGUGCCAUUUACUCCUUUCAUUAUUACAGACUGUUCCCACAAUUAUGAUUAGGAAGGGUCAAGUUGAUUGCCAUUUGAAGUAGAAUCCAGCCUGAGGCAAGGUGGGACCUUUUCUUGAGGCAAAAAAAAAAAAAAGGCUAUACUCAGUUGUUGCAUCAAGCUUAUGUCUUGACACACCUACCCUUCAGUUGCUUUCAUCUACUGAAUACAUUUACCAGCGACACAGGGCUGAACAGGAUCCCUGUUUAGCAUCGCUGUUGACCUGUGCUCAUCAGAGUAUUUUGGGGUAUGGGUCUUUUCCUUUCUCCAUUUUGUAAAUGCCUUAUUGAAAAGUAAGUGCCCUUCCAUUUCAGGCCUCCUCAUAUUGUACUUGUUUCCUGCAAAAAUUCAGGAGAUUGUGUUUUAAUUUUAUAAUCUAUGGCUCUGUACUGUUUGAAAGACUCUCAAUUCUAUGAGGUCUCUUUGUAUGUAUGUGACUUUCAUGCUGCAGUAUCGCACAGAUGAGAUGGCUCUUAAUAAACGAUCUGAAUGAGUAAAA